rnacentral:rRNA from 1 species
GACGAACGCUGGCGGCGUGCCUAAUACAUGCAAGUAGAACGCAGUUGCGAACGGGUGAGUAACGCGUAGGUAACUGCCUCAUAGCGGGGGAUAACUAUUGGAAACGAUAGCUAAUACCGCAUACUGUGAGAUGGACCUGCGUUGUAUUAGCUAGUUGGUGAGGUAAAGGCCCACCAAGGCGCCGAUACAUAGCCGACAUGAGAGGGUGUACCGCCACACUGGGACUGGGAAACGGCCCCGACCCCUACCGGGGGCAGCAGUAGGGAAUCUUCGGCAAUGGACGGAAGGCUUACCGAGCACCGCCGCGUUGGUGGAGAAGGUUUUCGGAUCUUAAAGCUCUGUUGUUAGAGAAGCGUUAACUAACCAGAAAGGGACGGCUAACUACGUGCCAGCAGCCGCGGUAAUUC